rnacentral:rRNA from 1 species
GAUGAACGCUGGCGGCGUGCUUAACACAUGCAAGUCGAACGGUGAACACGGAACUUUCUCUGUCUGAUCAUUGCCGAACGGGUGAGUAACACGUGAGCAACAUGCCCCUGACUCUGGGAUAAGCGCUGGAAACGGCGUCUAAUACAGGGGAUGUGACGUUACCGCGUGUUCUGCGUUUGGAAAAGUUGUUCGGUUGGGGAUGGGCACGCGGCCUAUCAGCUUGUUGGGGAGUUAGUAGCUCACCAAGGCGGCGACGGGUAGCCGACCCGAGAGGUUGACCGCGGACAAUGGGACUGAGACACGCCCCAGAAGGCUACCGGAGGCAGUAGUGGAGAAUAUUACGGAAUGGGGGCAAGCGUGAUGUAGCAGUGCCGCGUGCGGGAUGCCGGCUUUCGGGUUGUAAACCUCUUUGAGCAGGGAAGAAGAGAAAGUGACGGUACCUGCAGAGAAAGCGCCGGCUAACUACGUG